CAUGGCUUAAUCUUUGAGACAAGCAUAUGACUACUGGCAGGAUCAACCAGGUAGCAUUCCUCAUCGACGUUGAGACCGUAUGAGCCAAAGCCAUAAAGACCAAGUCAAAACGGCCACAACCGUCGUUCGCACAUAGCGUUGAAGCUGAAUUAAGGGCAAAAAGUGACCAACGACUCAUGCCCAAUACGGUGUUCCAAAACCGAGAGAACGAGCAACGAUCAUGACCCAACAUACCAAGCACAUGCAUGCAAGGAGAGUGGAACACAAUCAACGCUUUCACGUUCACUCCAUGCCACAAUCCGAGGGACGCAACACAAAGCGAAACUGAAAUUUAGCACAAUGAAUGCCCUUUCAAAAUGGAAUACAGCACAAGAAACCAACUUCCCGCAAAGGCACAACAUGCUUAAGCCAAGAAUUGAAGAGACACGCAUGGUACGUUGUCGCUGCCUGAACAGGGAUCCAACAUAUCAAAACGAAUCAAUCACCACUCAG
rnacentral:misc_RNA from 1 species